AGCAGCCGCGGUAAUUCCAGCUCCAAUAGCGUAUAUUAAAGUUGUUGCAGUUAAAAAGCUCGUAGUUGAAUUUCGGGAUCAAUAUGUUGGUCGUGCCUUGGUACGUACUGGCAUUAUCGAUUCCUACCUUCUGAAGAACCUCGAUGUCAUUAAUUUGGUGUCUUGGGGAAUCAGGACUGUUACUUUGAAAAAUUAGAGUGUUUAAAGCAGGCUCGCGCUUGAAUACAUUAGCAUGGAAUAAUGAAAUAGGACGUUUGAUUCUAUUUUGUUGGUUUCUAGGAUCGACGUAAUGAUUAAUAGGGAUAGUUGGGGGCAUUAGUAUUCAAUUGUCAGAGGUGAAAUUCUUGGAUUUAUUGAAGACUAACUACUGCGAAAGCAAUUUGCCGAGGAUGUUUUCAUUAAUUCAAGAACGAAAGUUAGGGGAUCGAAGACGAUCAGAUACCGUCGUAGUCUUAACCAUAAAAC
rnacentral:rRNA from 1 species